UACGGAGGGGUGCGAGCGUUUGUCCGGAUUUAUUGGGUUUAAGGGUGCGUAGGUGGGUUAAUAAGUCAGUGGUGAAAUACGGUUGACUCAACAAUCGAGGUGCCAUUGAUACUGUUAAUCUUGAAACAAGUGGAGGUUGCCGGAAUGGAUGGUGUAGCGGUAGAAAUGCAUAGAUAUCAUCCAGAACACCGAUUGCGAAGGCAGGUGACUACGUUUGAUUGACAUGAGGCACGAAAGCAUGGGGAGCAAACAGGG
rnacentral:rRNA from 1 species